rnacentral:rRNA from 1 species
GACAGAGGUCCCGAGCGUUAGGCGGAAUCACUGGGCUUAAAGCGUGUGUAGGCGGAUCGUUAAGUACCUUGUGAAAUCCCACGGCUUAACCGUGGAACUGCUUGGUAUACUGGCGAUCUUGAGCCACUUAGGGGCAACCGGAACAAACGGUGGAGCGGUGAAAUGCGUAGAUAUCGGGAGGAACACCAGUGGCGAAGGCGACUACCUGGCCUGUCCUUGACGCUGAGGCGCGAAAGCUAGGGGAGCAAACGGG